rnacentral:rRNA from 1 species
AACUAAGCAUAUCAAUAAGCGGAGGAAAAGAAACUAACAAGGAUUCCCCUAGUAACUGCGAGUGAAGCGGGAAAAGCUCAAAUUUAAAAUCUGGCAGUCUUUGGCUGUCCGAGUUGUAAUCUAGAGAAGUGUUAUCCGCGCUGGACCGUGUACAAGUCUCCUGGAAUGGAGCGUCAUAGAGGGUGAGAAUCCCGUCUUUGACACGGACUGCCAGGGCUUUUGUGAUGCGCUCUCAAAGAGUCGAGUUGUUUGGGAAUGCAGCUCAAAAUGGGUGGUAAAUUCCAUCUAAAGCUAAAUAUUGGCGAGAGACCGAUAGCGAACAAGUACCGUGAGGGAAAGAUGAAAAGAACUUUGGAAAGAGAGUUAAACAGUACGUGAAAUUGCUGAAAGGGAAACGCUUGAAGUCAGUCGCGUUGUCCAGGGAUCAACUCUUGCUUUUGCUUGGUGUAUUUUCUGGUUAACGGGUCAGCAUCAAUUUUGACUAUUGGAAAAAGAUCAAGGGAAUGUGGCAUCUUCGGAUGUGUUAUAGCCCUUGGUUGCAUACAUUAGUUGGGAUUGAGGAACUCAGCACGCCGCAAGGCCGAGUUUUUAACUACGUUCGUGCUUAGGAUGCUGGCAUAAUGGCUUUAAUCGACCCGUCUUGAAACACGGACCAAGGAGUCUAACAUGCCUGCGAGUGUUUGGGUGGAAAACCCGAGCGCGUAAUGAAAGUGAAAGUUGAGAUCCCUGUCGUGGGGAGCAUCGACGCCCGGACUUGACCUUUUGUGACGGUUCCGCGGUAGAGCAUGUAUGUUGGGACCCGAAAGAUGGUGAACUAUGCCUGAAUAGGGUGAAGCCAGAGGAAACUCUGGUGGAGGCUCGUAGCGAUUCUGACGUGCAAAUCGAUCGUCAAAUUUGGGUAUAGGGGCGAAAGACUAAUCGAAC